GAUGAACGUUGGCGGCGUGCCUAAUACAUGCAAGUCGAACGGAGAUUGUAGCAAUACGGUCUUAGUGGCGGACGGGUGAGUAACGCGUGGGUAAUCUGCCCUUGAGCGGGGGAUAACAGUCGGAAACGACUGCUAAUACCGCAUACACUACCGGAGACACAUGUACUCGGUAGCAAAGGUGGCCUCUUAACAAUGCUACCGCUUAAGGAUGAGCCCGCGUCUGAUUAGCUAGUAGGUGGGGUAAAGGCCUACCUAGGCGACGAUCAGUAGCCGGCCUGAGAGGGUGUACGGCCACACUGGAACUGAGACACGGUCCAGACUCCUACGGGAGGCAGCAGUGGGGAAUAUUGCGCAAUGGGGGAAACCCUGACGCAGCGACGCCGCGUGAGCGAAGAAGGCCUUCGGGUUGUAAAGCUCUGUCUGGAGGGACGAACAAAAUGACGGUACCUCCGGAGGAAGCCACGGCUAACUACGUGCCAGCAGCCGCGGUAAGAUCACGUGUA
rnacentral:rRNA from 1 species